rnacentral:rRNA from 1 species
AUUGAACGCUGGCGGCAGGCCUAACACAUGCAAGUCGAACGAGUGGCGGACGGGUGAGUAAUGUCUGGGAAACUGCCCGAUGGCGGGGGAUAACUACUGGAAACGGUAGCUAAUACCGCAUACCAGCGGAUGGGCCCAGAUGGGAUUAGCGAGUAGGUGGGGUAACGGCUUACCGAGGCGAAGAGCCCUAGCUGGUCUGAGAGGAUGACCAGCCACACGGGAACUGAGACACGGUCCAGACUCCUACGGGAGGCAGCAGUGGGGAAUUUUGCGCAAUGGGCGAAAGCCUGAUGCAGCCAUGCCGCGUGUAUGAAGAAGGCCUUCGGGUUGUAAAGUACUGUCAGCGAGGAGGCGUUACUCGCAGAAGAAGCACCGGCUAACUCCGUGCCAGCAGCCGCGGUAAUUC